AACGAACGCUGGCGGCAUGCCUAACACAUGCAAGUCGAACGAGACCUUCGGGUCUAGUGGCGCACGGGUGCGUAACGCGUGGGAACCUGCCCUUAGGUUCGGAAUAACUCCCCGAAAGGGGUGCUAAUACCGGAUAAUGUCUUCGGACCAAAGAUUUAUCGCCUUUGGAUGGGCCCGCGUUGGAUUAGCUAGUUGGUAGGGUAAAAGCCUACCAAGGCGACGAUCCAUAGCUGGUCUGAGAGGAUGAUCAGCCACACUGGGACUGAGACACGGCCCAGACGUGCAGGGGAGGACGGGGGAGGGAAGGCGGGAGAAGGGAAGAAAGACUGACCAAGCAAUGUCGAGUGCGGGAAGACGGCUGUAGGGUUGAAAAGCUUGGUUGCCGGGAAAAAAAAUGACAGGAAGGGGAGAAUACGGUCCGGCAAACUCCGCGCAAGCCGGUGGGGUAAGACACGGCACAGCCACGUCACAAC
rnacentral:rRNA from 1 species